CACGUAGGCACCAAGCGUUGUCCGGAUUUAUUGGGCGUAAAGAGCUCGUAGGCGGUUCAGUAAGUCGGGUGUGAAAACUCAGGGCUCAACCCUGAGCGGCCACCCGAUACUGCUGUGACUUGAGUCUGGUAGGGGAGUGGGGAAUUCCUGGUGUAGCGGUGAAAUGCGCAGAUAUCAGGAGGAACACCGGUGGCGAAGGCGCCACUCUGGGCCACGACUACGUGAGGAGCGAAAGCAUGGGUAGCAAACAGG
rnacentral:rRNA from 1 species